CUUUGGUGGCGACCGGCGCACGGGUGCGUAACGCGUAUGCAACCUACCCUUUAACAGGGGGAUAACACUGAGAAAUCGGUACUAAUUCCCCAUAACAUUCGAGAAGGCAUCUUCUUGGGUUAAAAACUCCGGUGGUUAAAGAUGGGCAUGCGUUGUAUUAGCUAGUUGGUGAGGUAACGGCUCACCAAGGCAACGAUACAUAGGGGGACUGAGAGGUUAACCCCCCACAUUGGUACUGAGACACGGACCAA
rnacentral:rRNA from 1 species